CAUCAGCUUCCUGAGAAACCUUUACUAUAAUGGAUUGUAAAAAUAACUACUUUAAGGACAAAUUUCUUAAUUGUAAAUGCUGCAAAAUGAAGGAGCUUGUUUGGGUUGAUGCAGGACCCACAGCAAUUAAACAAUUGCUGACGAGUAUAUGUGAUCCAGAUGCACAGGAGGUUAUUCUUGCAACCAGCCUAUUGGACCAGAUGAUCUUGGUACCACCCAGAUCAAUAAACUGGCUCAUCUGAUCUUGUGGCACCCCCUACCCAGGAACUGACUGAGCGCAAGAAGACAGCUUUGACUCCCUAUGAUUUAAUCUCUAACCAAUCAGCACUCCUGGCUCACUGGCUUCCUCCCACCCACCAAAUUAUUCAUAGAAACUCUGAUCCCUGAAUGCUCAGGGAGACUGAUUUGAGUAAUAAUAAAACUCUGGUCUCCCACACAGCUGGCUCCAUGUGAAUUACUCUUUCUCUUGCAGUUCCCCUGUCUUGAUGAAUUGGCUCUGUCUAGGCAGUGGGCAGGGUGAACCCCUUGGGCGGUUACAGUGCUAUGGGACAAAAUUAAGAUUUGGUGGCCAUUGAUGUUGCCUCUGGCCACAUCUCCUCUGGGGAGAAUGUAAAUCAAAAAUAAAAUUGGAACCCUCCCCCACCCCCAACCAUCUUAAUGGACUCCCUUCUUGGCCAGGGCACUAAAAUUUAACCUGAAAGACUGGUCAGGCUGGCCGGCGCGGUGGCUCAUGCGUGUAAUCCCAGCACUUUAGGAGCCCGAGGCAGGUGGAUCGCCUGAGGUCAGGAUUUCGAGACCAGCCUGGCCAACAUAGUGAAACUAAAAAAUACAAAAAAUUGUCUUUACUAAAAAAUACAAAAAAUUAGCUGGGCGUGGUGGUGGGCGCCUAUAAUCCCAGCUACCCAGGAAGCUGAGGCAGGAGAAUCACUUGAACCUGGGAGGCGGAGGUUGCAGUGAGCUGAGAUUGCGCCAUUGUACUCCAGGGCAACAAGAGCGAAACUGUGUCUCAAAAAAAAAAAAAAAAAAAAAAAGAAAGAAAGAAAGACUGGUCAGGCCGUAAUGGGAACUGGGAGUCAGACAGGCUUCAUUAUACCCCUCCAGCAUUAACAUCAACAGACCUUAAGUGUGAUAACAAUUACAGUCUAUUUUCUCUGAAGCUUGCUACCUGGAGGCUUCAUCUGCAUGACAAAACCUUGGUCUUCAUAACCCUUAUCUUAACCCAGACACUCCUUUCUACUGAUAAUAACUCUUUCAACCAAUUGCUAAUCAGAAUAUGUUUAAAUCUACCGAUGACCUGGAAGCACCUUGCCUUUGAGUUGUCCCACCCUUCCAGAUCAAACCAAUGUAAAUUUUACAUGUGUUGACUAAUGUAUUAUGUCUCCCUAAAACGUACAAAAGCAAGCUGUACCCGGACCACCUGGCCUCAGGACCUCCUGAAGUCUGUUUCACUGGUGCGUCUUUAAUCUUGGCAAAAUAAAAUUUCUAAAUUGACAGAGACUUGUCUCUGAUAUUUUGAGUUCACAAAGGUGAUAUUGUUGGCCAAAUGUGCCUCUUACUAUUUUUUUCUUUUCAAUAGCUUCUGCUUAUGUCUGUCACUGCUUCUUUUGCUACUACUAAUUAUUUUAGGUGAACUCAGACUAGUUUUACUUCUGGAUAGUGAUGUGAAAACUGAGAUUAUCAGAAGUCUGCUCUCUGAUUCUUGCUUUACUUGGACUAGACCUUUUUUAGACACCAUAGUAUUGUACAUUAAUCUCCACUAGUAUAAACUUCGUGAGUCAGGAACACAUCCCCAGAGCCCUGGCACAAAAAGAAAUCUUGAUAAAUAUUGUAAAAUGAAUGAAUUUACUUUGUGACAUUUCAAGUUUCUUGAGGACAGAAACAGUGUCUUACUCCUUAUGUCCCUUUAAAAUUUAAUAUAUUUUAAAAUAUUUGAGUAAUUUUUUGAAUAGGAUAUAUAUAUCAUAUGUAUAUCAUACAUGGCACAAAUAUGUGUGUGUGUAUAUGUAUUUGUGCUAUAUAUAUAUAUUUGUGCUCUCUCUCUAUAUAUAUAGAGAGAGAGCACAAAUUUGCAAAGGUACAAAGAGGUAUACGGUGAAACAGGAAACAGGAAUCCCUGUCCACCAGCCACCCAGCUGAGAAACCCUCCUGGAGCGAACAUCAUUAUUCAUUUUUUGGUGUCUCUUUCCAGAAAUGUUCUGUGCAUGCACAAGUAUUUACAUACAUAUCUUCAAAUGCAAAUGGUAGUAUACUUUCUAGAUACUUUUUUACAUUGCAUUUAACAUUAGAACAUGUAGAGCAGCCUCGUUCCUUUUAAAGACUGCAAAGUAUUCGGAAUGGACAUACCACAUUUAAAAAAAACUAGUCUUCUAUUGAUGGACCUUUAUAUUGUUUCCAAAGUUUUGCUGUUUUGGAAAAUGCUACUGUGAAUUUCCUUGUUUGUUGCUUUACAAAUUGGCAGAUUUAUCUGUAGAAUAAAUUCCUACAAGUGCAAUUGCCGGCUUAAAGGGUACUAUGUGUGUUUUACGUAUUGAGAGAUAUUGGCAAAUUGGCCUUAAAGAGUUCUAUUGACUAUUUAUAGUUCUACUAAUGAUUUAUACAGUAUUUUGUUAACACGGCCUUUUGGUCUGGAAAUAAUUACACUGUAAGACAGUACAGUUGAAAUAUCAAAGAAAUUAAAACAAAGUUAGGUAUGUCAUAAAUAUAUGAAAUAUGUGUAGACACUAGUCCAUUUUAUCAUUUGCUACCAUAAAAUAUGCACACAUCUGUUAUACAAAGUUAAAAUUUAUCAAAACAUAUAAACACAGAACAUGCAUAGCAUAAUUUGUGGUUGAGAAAUGUAAACAAGUGUAAAGAUGCAGUAUUAUUACGCAUAUAAUAACUGUAGUCCAUGCUGUACUACUGUAAUAAUUUUGUAGCCACCUCUUGUUGCUGUUGUGACUCACUCAGUGUUGACACUCAUCACCUUCUUGUGAACAGUUCAUCUCUUCAGUAAAUUGUGUUUUAACAUUAAAAAGUGAUCUCUCGC
rnacentral:lncRNA from 1 species